AGUGAACGCUGGCGGCGUGCUUAAUACAUGCCAGUCGAACGAUGAAGUCCUAGCUUGCUAGGAUGGAUUAGUGGCGCACGGGUGAGUAAUAUAUAGUUAAUCUGCCUUGCACUGAGGAACAACAGUUGGAAACGAUUGCUAAUACCUCAUACUCCAACUUUACAUAAGUUAAGUUGGGAAAGUCUUUUCGGUGCAAGAUGAGACUAUAUCGUAUCAGCUAGUUGGUAAGGUAAUGGCUUACCAAGGCUAUGACGCGUAACUGGUCUGAGAGGAUGAUCAGUCACAUUGGAACUGAGACACGGUCCAAACUCCUACGGGAGGCAGCAGUAAGGAAUAUUGUGCAAUGGGGGAAACCCUGACGCAGCAACGCCGCGUGGAGGAUGACACUUUUCGGAGCGUAAACUCCUUUUGUUAGGGAAGAAUAAUGACGGUACCUAACGAAUAAGCACCGGCUAACUCCGUG
rnacentral:rRNA from 1 species